rnacentral:rRNA from 1 species
UACGAAGGGGGCUAGCGUUGUUCGGAUUUACUGGGCGUAAAGCGCACGUAGGCGGACUAUUAAGUCAGGGGUGAAAUCCCGGGGCUCAACCCCGGAGCUGCCUUUGAUACUGGUAGUCUUGAGUUCGAGAGAGGUGAGUGGAAUUCCGAGUGUAGAGGUGAAAUUCGUAGAUAUUCGGAGGAACACCAGUGGCGAAGGCGGCUCACUGGCUCGAUACUGACGCUGAGGUGCGAAAGCGUGGGGAGCAAACAGG